rnacentral:pre_miRNA from 1 species
CAAUUACUCCCUCCGUUCGGAAUUACUUGUCGCGGAAAUGGAUGUAUCUAGACGUAUUUUAGUUCUACAUACAUCCAUUUCCGAGACAAGUAAUUCCGAAUGAAGGGAGUAGUAA